rnacentral:miRNA from 1 species
AAGGGCUUCGUGGAUUCCUCU